GACGAACGCUGGCGGCGUGCUUAACACAUGCAAGUCGAACGGUGAAGCGCCUUCCUUUUUGGUGGGUGUGGAUGAGUGGCGAACGGGUGAGUAACACGUGAGUAACCUGCCCCCUUCUUCUGGAUAACCACAUGAAAGUGUGGCUAAUACGGGAUAUUCUGGGUCUGUCGCAUGAUGGGUCUGGGAAAGAUAUUGUUUCGGUGGGGGAUGGGCUCGCGGCCUAUCAGCUUGUUGGUGGGGUGAUGGCCUACCAUGGCGGUGACGGGUAGCCGGCCUGAGAGGGUGGACGGUCACACUGGGACUGAGACACGGCCCAGACUCCUACGGGAGGCAGCAGUGGGGAAUAUUGCACAAUGGGCGCAAGCCUGAUGCAGCGACGCCGCGUGAGGGAUGGAGGCCUUCGGGUUGUGAACCUCUUUCGCCAGUGAAGCAGGCCUGCCUCGUUUGUGGGUGGGUUGACGGUAGCUGGAUAAGAAGCGCCGGCUAACUACGUG
rnacentral:rRNA from 1 species